UUCGCAAUGCCCGAAAGGGUGACGAAGCGACGCCGCGUGGGUGAGGAAGGCCUUCGGGUUGUAAAGCCCUGUCAGGAGUUAAGAAAUGUAAGUGCGCUAAUAUCGCAUUUACUUGACGAAGGCUCCAAAGGAGGCCACGGCUAACUCUGUGCCAGCAGCCGCGGUAAUACAGAGGUGGCGAGCGUUGUUCGGUAUUAUUGGGCGUAAAGAGCACGUAGGUGGUUUUGUAAGUCAGGUGUGAAAGCCUUCUGUUCAAAGGAAGAACGGCAUCAGAAACUGCAGAUCUUGAGUGUAGGAGGGGAGGGUGGAACUUCUGGUGGAGCGGUGAAAUGCGUAGAUAUCAGAAGGAACGUCGGCGGCGAAAGCGACUCUCUGGCCUAUUACUGACACUGAGGUGCGAAAGUUAGGGGAGCAAACGGGAUUAGAUACCCCGGUAGUCCUAGCCGUAAACGAUGGGCACUAAGUAGAGGGGUUUU
rnacentral:rRNA from 1 species